AUUGCACGCUAGCGGCAGGCUUAACACAUGCACGUCGAACGAGUGGCGGCCGGGUGCGUAAUGCUUGGGACUCUAGCUUAUGGAGGGGGAUAACUACGGGAAACUGUAGCUAAUACCGAGUACCAUAGGAUGAGCCCAAGUGGGAUUAGGUAGUUGGUUAGGUAAAGGCGCAACAAGCCGACGAUCUCUAGCUGGUCUGAGAGGAUGUCCAGCAACACGGGGACGGAGGCACGGCCCAGACUACUACGGGAGUGAGCAGUGGGGAAUAUUGCGGAAUGGGGGCAACCUGACGCAGCCAUGCCGCGUGAAUGAAGAAGGCCUGCGGGUUGUAAAGUUCUUGCGGUAGCGAGGCGGUAACUACAGAAGAAGCAGCGGCUAACGCCGUGUCAGCAGCCGCGGUAAUAC
rnacentral:rRNA from 1 species